GGAGAGAUGGCUCAGUGGUUAAGGGCACUGGCUGCUCUUCCAGAGGACCUGGGUUCAAUUCCCAGCACCC
rnacentral:tRNA from 1 species